rnacentral:rRNA from 1 species
GAUGAACGCUGGCGGCGUGCCUAAUACAUGCAAGUCGAGCGAACGGACGAGAAGCUUGCUUCUCUGAUGUUAGCGGCGGACGGGUGAGUAACACGUGGAUAACCUACCUAUAAGACUGGGAUAACUUCGGGAAACCGGAGCUAAUACCGGAUAAUAUUUUGAACCGCAUGGUUCAAAAGUGAAAGACGGUCUUGCUGUCACUUAUAGAUGGAUCCGCUCUGCAUUAGCUAGUUGGUAAGGUAACGGCUUACCAAGGCAACGAUGCAUAGCCGACCUGAGAGGGUGACCGGCCACACUGGAACUGAGACACGGUCCAGACUCCUACGGGAGGCAGCAGUAGGGAACCUUCCGCAAUGGGCGAAAGCCUGACGGAGCAACGCCGCGUGAGUGAUGAAGGUCUUCGGAUCGUAAAACUCUGUUAUUAGGGAAGAACAUAUGUGUAAGUAACUGUGCACAUCUUGACGGUACCUAAUCAGAAAGCCACGGCUAACUACGUG